rnacentral:rRNA from 1 species
UUUCGACACACUAUCAUUAACUGAAUCCAUAGGUUAAUGAGGCGAACCGGGGGAACUGAAACAUCUAAGUACCCCGAGGAAAAGAAAUCAACCGAGAUUCCCCCAGUAGCGGCGAGCGAACGGGGAGGAGCCCAGAGCCUGAAUCAGUGUGUGUGUUAGUGGAAGCGUCUGGAAAGGCGCGCGAUACAGGGUGACAGCCCCGUACACAAAAAUGCACAUACUGUGAGCUCGAUGAGUAGGGCGGGACACGUGGUAUCCUGUCUGAAUAUGGGGGGACCAUCCUCCAAGGCUAAAUACUCCUGACUGACCGAUAGUGAACCAGUACCGUGAGGGAAAGGCGAAAAGAACCCCGGCGAGGGGAGUGAAAAAGAACCUGAAACCGUGUACGUACAAGCAGUGGGAGCCUCUUAAUGGGGUGACUGCGUACCUUUUGUAUAAUGGGUCAGCGACUUAUAUUCUGUAGCAAGGUUAACCGAAUAGGGGAGCCGAAGGGAAACCGAGUCUUAACUGGGCGUUAAGUUGCAGGGUAUAGACCCGAAACCCGGUGAUCUAGCCAUGGGCAGGUUGAAGGUUGGGUAACACUAACUGGAGGACCGAACCGACUAAUGUUGAAAAAUUAGCGGAUGACUUGUGGCUGGGGGUGAAAGGCCAAUCAAACCGGGAGAUAGCUGGUUCUCCCCGAAAGCUAUUUAGGUAGCGCCUCGUGAAUUCAUCUCCGGGGGUAGAGCACUGUUUCGGCAAGGGGGUCAUCCCGACUUACCAACCCGAUGCAAACUGCGAAUACCGGAGAAUGUUAUCACGGGAGACACACGGCGGGUGCUAACGUCCGUCGUGAAGAGGGAAACAACCCAGACCGCCAGCUAAGGUCCCAAAGUCAUGGUUAAGUGGGAAACGAUGUGGGAAGGCCCAGACAGCCAGGAUGUUGGCUUAGAAGCAGCCAUCAUUUAAAGAAAGCGUAAUAGCUCACUGGUCGAGUCGGCCUGCGCGGAAGAUGUAACGGGGCUAAACCAUGCACCGAAGCUGCGGCAGCGACACUAUGUGUUGUUGGGUAGGGGAGCGUUCUGUAAGCCUGUGAAGGUGUACUGUGAGGUAUGCUGGAGGUAUCAGAAGUGCGAAUGCUGACAUAAGUAACGAUAAAGCGGGUGAAAAGCCCGCUCGCCGGAAGACCAAGGGUUCCUGUCCAACGUUAAUCGGGGCAGGGUGAGUCGACCCCUAAGGCGAGGCCGAAAGGCGUAGUCGAUGGGAAACAGGUUAAUAUUCCUGUACUUGGUGUUACUGCGAAGGGGGGACGGAGAAGGCUAUGUUGGCCGGGCGACGGUUGUCCCGGUUUAAGCGUGUAGGCUGGUUUUCCAGGCAAAUCCGGAAAAUCAAGGCUGAGGCGUGAUGACGAGGCACUACGGUGCUGAAGCGACAAAUGCCCUGCUUCCAGGAAAAGCCUCUAAGCAUCAGGUAACAUCAAAUCGUACCCCAAACCGACACAGGUGGUCAGGUAGAGAAUACCAAGGCGCUUGAGAGAACUCGGGUGAAGGAACUAGGCAAAAUGGUGCCGUAACUUCGGGAGAAGGCACGCUGAUAUGUAGGUGAAGCGACUUGCUCGUGGAGCUGAAAUCAGUCGAAGAUACCAGCUGGCUGCAACUGUUUAUUAAAAACACAGCACUGUGCAAACACGAAAGUGGACGUAUACGGUGUGACGCCUGCCCGGUGCCGGAAGGUUAAUUGAUGGGGUUAGCGGUAACGCGAAGCUCUUGAUCGAAGCCCCGGUAAACGGCGGCCGUAACUAUAACGGUCCUAAGGUAGCGAAAUUCCUUGUCGGGUAAGUUCCGACCUGCACGAAUGGCGUAAUGAUGGCCAGGCUGUCUCCACCCGAGACUCAGUGAAAUUGAACUCGCUGUGAAGAUGCAGUGUACCCGCGGCAAGACGGAAAGACCCCGUGAACCUUUACUAUAGCUUGACACUGAACAUUGAGCCUUGAUGUGUAGGAUAGGUGGGAGGCUUUGAAGUGUGGACGCCAGUCUGCAUGGAGCCGACCUUGAAAUACCACCCUUUAAUGUUUGAUGUUCUAACGUGGGCCCCUUACCGGGGUUGCGGACAGUGUCUGGUGGGUAGUUUGACUGGGGCGGUCUCCUCCUAAAGAGUAACGGAGGAGCACGAAGGUUGGCUAAUCCUGGUCGGACAUCAGGAGGUUAGUGCAAUGGCAUAAGCCAGCUUGACUGCGAGCGUGACGGCGCGAGCAGGUGCGAAAGCAGGUCAUAGUGAUCCGGUGGUUCUGAAUGGAAGGGCCAUCGCUCAACGGAUAAAAGGUACUCCGGGGAUAACAGGCUGAUACCGCCCAAGAGUUCAUAUCGACGGCGGUGUUUGGCACCUCGAUGUCGGCUCAUCACAUCCUGGGGCUGAAGUAGGUCCCAAGGGUAUGGCUGUUCGCCAUUUAAAGUGGUACGCGAGCUGGGUUUAGAACGUCGUGAGACAGUUCGGUCCCUAUCUGCCGUGGGCGCUGGAGAACUGAGGGGGGCUGCUCCUAGUACGAGAGGACCGGAGUGGACGCAUCACUGGUGUUCGGGUUGUCAUGCCAAUGGCACUGCCCGGUAGCUAAAUGCGGAAGAGAUAAGUGCUGAAAGCAUCUAAGCACGAAACUUGCCCCGAGAUGAGUUCUCCCUGACUCCUUGAGAGUCCUGAAGGAACGUUGAAGACGACGACGUUGAUAGGCCGGGUGUGUAAGCGCAGCGAUGCGUUGAGCUAACCGGUACUAAUGAACCGUGAGGCUUAACCUU